UGCCCGUUGGUGUAACUGGUAACACGGUUGACUCUGAAUCAGCUAUUCAAGGUUCGAACCCUUGGCGGGCAUCCA
rnacentral:tRNA from 1 species